rnacentral:lncRNA from 10 species
CAGCAGCCUGGGUGCAGCCUGCUCUGUCGGGUGACAGGCUGUAAGUGCGAGUCAGCAUCUGCUGGGUGGAUGACACCCCUCCCUUCUGACCCCAGAGCAGGGACGCGCUCACCCAACUGCGGAGGUGACUAAGGCUGGGAGAGGUGUGAUAGGCAGGAAAACAGACAUAGGCAGGGUCCAGAGUUUCCAGGUUUAAUUCUGAAAACCAGAGCCCGUCUGGGUCCAUGUGUCUGAGGUGGUGUCUUUCUCUGGUUCUGGAACUGGAUCUCUGCCCCUGCUCUUCCCUUCCUUCCUCCCUCUCCUGAGUCUGUCUCAGCUGAGUUAGUGCCCAGGGCUGUGGGUGGCUGGGCUGGCAGAGGGCAGAGUGCCAGGGUUUCAGGAAGAGAAGCACAGAUUAGUCAAGGACUGUCAGACCCAACUACAUCCCCAUGGAGCCUGGCAGUGACAUGAUUUUAGUCCACGGGCCAUUCUGAACCAGACACACUGGACUCCACUGCCUCCCAUGGGGUCUUCCCUGGGCUCUGGCCAUAGAGUGUUCCUGGAGUGCCCCCACCGACUCUGAGUGAGCACAUGGUUAGAGCAGGUGCCUACAGUUCUGGGCUCUGCACAGCCAGGGCUGGGUAGGAGCAUUGCAUGUGCCCUCCCAGCCUGGGGGAAGCAGACAGCAGCAAAUGGGAGGCUGGAGUCCUUCAUAGGUCCUGGACCCCCCAAUUCUUCUGUUCUCCAGCAUCUGGAAGGUUAUUAGAAGCAGCAGUGGAGCAGUGGCCUUAGGAAACACCCAGAACAGCCCCGUGUGUGUGUAUGUGUGUGUGUGUGUGUGUGCAUAUGUGUGUGUGUAUGCACGUGCACUUGUGCACAGAAGCUAUAACAUUGUAAGUCUGGGAGACUGCAUAUGCUCAGAGCUGCCUCUUAAGAACUCCAGACGACGCUUCACAGUCUUAAAGCAGAGGAAGGCCACAGGGUCUCAGUUGUGCUGUUCAUUCUCCCUCAGAGAACAUUCUCCCUGGAGAUGGACAGCCUGCCCAGGGUACCUGAAGCCUGAACCACUGGAGAGACCAUGGUCUUCUUACCAGCCUUUCACCUCUGAUAAAAGUUUCAAACAAAGCUGGGAGUUUGUUGACUUGUGAAGGCCAGGUGAUCUGUGGACGAUCUCAGGUCAACAGAGCUGAAGAAUGGCAGCAGUUCAGUAAAGGGACAAAGGCCACCAAAGGGAGAGGGGUCGGCAGACUUCUAUAAAGGGCCAGCGGGGAAAUAUUUUCAGCUUUUCAAGCUAAACAGUCUGUUGCCACGUCUCAAAUCUGCAGUUGCAGCGCAAAAGCAACCAUAGAUAAUAUGUAACGAACAAAUGUGGCUGUGUUCCAUUAAAACUUUAUUUUGGGGCACUGAAAUUUGAAUUUCGUAUAAUUAUCACAUGUCAUGAAAUAUUAUUCUUCUUCUCAUUUCCC